GACGAACGCUGGCGGCGUGCUUAACACAUGCAAGUCGAACGGAAAGGCCCUGCUUUUGUGGGGUGCUCGAGUGGCGAACGGGUGAGUAACACGUGAGUAACCUGCCCUUGACUUUGGGAUAACUUCAGGAAACUGGGGCUAAUACCGGAUAGGAGCUCCUGCUGCAUGGUGGGGGUUGGAAAGUUUCGGCGGUUGGGGAUGGACUCGCGGCUUAUCAGCUUGUUGGUGGGGUAGUGGCUUACCAAGGCUUUGACGGGUAGCCGGCCUGAGAGGGUGACCGGCCACAUUGGGACGGAGAUACGGCCCAGACUCCUACGGGAGGCAGCAGUGGGGAAUAUGGCACAAGGGGCGGAGGCCGGAGGCAGAAACGCCGCGGGCGGGAGGACGGCCUUCGGGUUGUAAACCGCUUUCGCCGGUGACGAAGCGUGGGUGACGGUAAUGGGGAAAGAAGCACCGGCUAACUACGU
rnacentral:rRNA from 1 species